rnacentral:pre_miRNA from 4 species
AAAGUUCUGAGACACUCCGACUCUGAAUAUGAUAGAAGUCAGUGCACUACAGAACUUUGU